rnacentral:ribozyme from 14 species
UGUUCAGUGUCCUCUGGAAAUAUUUCCAAAAUGUGGGGGGUAUGCAAUAACAAAGAAAAGAAUAAUAAAAUAAUAAGAAUUGAUCAAGUAGCUCAUCUAUUUGUGAUGUUUGAUUU